UGUUGCGACACUUUGGCUUUUUCACAGUUUUGUUCGGAACAAAACUGUGAAAAAGCCAAAGUGUCGCAACAU
rnacentral:pre_miRNA from 1 species